rnacentral:lncRNA from 1 species
CCUGCCUUUCUUUUGUGUCUCUAUCUUUCUCUCCACGCCCAUUAUCCUUACGUUUCUUUUUCGUCAGUCGCACUUUAAACGAAGGAACUUUGUAAAGGUAACAGCGUGGGGUUGGACUUGUUAAUUUUUUUCGUUAGGUCUAAUAAAUGUUAUCAAAAUAUGUAAGCACGAUAUAGACCUAGC